AAGCAACUCAAAAACCAAGAAAGGAUCCUCCUCCCCCUGAUGAGCCUCUACGUUAGGCAAAAGGCACGUUGGGGCGCGAUGUUCUGUCACUACAAAGUCCUGUCUUUUGUGUUUCCUGGCACCUUUGCCUUGUGCACGGACAUUUACCACAGGCUUGAUUUAUAUAGCCACUCAGGUAUCUUCUGGAUUUAGAUGGCGGACAGCCGUCUGG